AGGCUUAGGCAAGAGCAACUUCGUUCAUAUAUGCAUCGAAUUGCACUCGUCCCGGCCUGC
rnacentral:pre_miRNA from 1 species